GCUCUGGUGGCCUAGUGGUUAGAGCGACCCGCCUCGGAUGCGGGAGAUGGGUUCGAUCCCCGGUCGAGUCA